CAGAGGGUGCAAACGUUGUUCGGAAUUACUGGGCGUAAAGCGCGUGUAGGCUGGCUUCGAAAGUCGGAUGUGAAAGGCCCUGGGCUCAACCUAGGAACGUGCAUUCGAACUUCGAAGCUGGAGUCCUGGAGAGGAAGGCGGAAUUCUCGGUGUAGAGGUGAAAUUCGUAGAUAUCGAGAGGAACACCGGUGGCGAAGGCGGCCUUCUGGACAGUGACUGGACGCUGAGACGCGAAAGCGUGGGGAGCAAACAGGAUUAGAUACCCUGGUAGUCCACGCCGUAAACGAUGGGUGCUAGGUGUCAGGGGCUUUGACCCCUCUGGUGCCGUAGCUAACGCAUUAAGCACCCCGCCUGGGGAGUACGGCCGCAAGGCUA
rnacentral:rRNA from 1 species